rnacentral:lncRNA from 1 species
AAUAACCCAAAUAAUAAAACCCAAAACCUAAAAUCAACCUAGCCCAACAUCCAAGCCCAAUCCCAAAACCCUAGACUCCCACUUGCCUCUUCCCAUUCUCCCAUGUUGUCUGCCACCAGCACCACUCCCACUCUCCCAUGCUGUCUGCCACCACCAUGCCUUUUGCCGCACCUGCAAACAAGCAAAGGAAAAGGACAAAAAAUGGAGCAAUAAACAUUAACAGAAUAUUGUAUUUUUGGCUAUAAAAGCCACAAGCAAAAUCGGACCAAGGAGAAAAAAAGAAGAGAAACAAAAAAAAGGAGAAGGGGACUUUUGUAACAAAAAAGAGAAGAUUCGGCUUUUGAAAAAAUUGAAAGAAAUAAAAAAGGGGCUUUAGAAGGUGAUUCACCUUGUUUUUUUUCGUUUUCUUUAUUUUCGUUCUAUUUCGGUUUUUCUAUAGUAUUUCUUUCUCUUUUUUAUUAUCAACACACAUAUAUAUAAGAUAAAAAAAAUAAAAGUAAAAAGGAGUUUACCUGUUUCCGGCGGCGGUGGAAAGAGGAAGAACCAAAAGGUCUCUUUCGAUUUUGGCCCUUUUCGCCGGGAUUUCGGCUUUUCUAACCCCAGAUCUGGACCCUAUUCGCAAAAAGGAGAAAAAGGGAGCUUUUUUUUUGGUUUUCCGGCCACCGCGAACGGCGGCGUCGUCGCCGGCGUCCGGCGACCGGUGCGGUGGUCGAUGGCCGGCAAAGGGGGCUCUUCCUAUCUUUUUACGGACACAAGAACAAUAAAAACAUAAACUUUGAAUCGGAGAAGUAAUUUUCGUUUCUUUAUUUUUGUGUGUUUUUACAUCUAGUUUGAUUUCUUUUUAUUUCUUUCUACUUACGAAAAUAAAAACAAAAGAAAUAAGGAGAGGAGAAACUCACCGGAGUUGGCCGUGACCGUGCCGCCGGGGUUUUUCUUCCAUCGUCGGUCGUCGGUCUUGG